UUUUUCUUUUUAGUUAUUUCCAGGAUGACUUUCACUUUGCAGUACCUCACCGACUUUCACUCAUCGUUUCAGAUCCUUCAAUAUUUCACCAAUUUCUUAUCACCCCACACAGAGGUUAUAAAUCGAACCUACAAGGGUUUUCCUAUCCGAUUACGUUUCAGUGGGAAAAAGAAAGAGGAAUCAAGAGAUUGAGGCUGAUACGUUCACUAUUUUCUCUUCCUACCACGUCGAUGCUACACUAUCUUCUUCUUGAUGCGCCGAUUCCUCCGUUACUUCUUUCCUUCGCAACAUCCAUACGGUUUUGGUCGUGAUACUGCUGAAGGCGUGGCCACUGUCUUUUCGGUGAGCUUUCAUAUCGCCAUUGCAACAUGAAUUCAUUGAAUCUUAAUUUUGACAGGUAUGUCUAAAACUUCCACAUAUUCAGUCGUUUGGGCGACUGAUUUCGACCUAAAAUGGAAGCUAUAAAAUUAGGGUUUUUUUGCUUUGUUGAUUUUAUUUGCUGUUACUGACAAAGCAUAUUUAGAAAUACAUGGUUCUUGAACAUCCAAUUGUAGCCUUUAGAAAAAAAAGAUGCAAGGGAGUCUGAAAAACUUCUUAGGAUUGUAAAUGUUAAUGACAAGUACACAAUGUGCACGUAUCAUGUUGAUCCUAACCAGGAGAUUAACCUGAAGAAUCAUUGAUGGGGCCGCUAUUUUGUUUGUGGGUACCAAAUGCUUUUUUCUGCUUUAUUAUCGGGGUUUGCUGGGUUUUGGACCAUAUUACCCCUACACUUACUGCAUAUGGUGUUGCUUACUAUGAUGGUGUCAUUGGGACUUUGUACACAUUGUUGGCCCCUACCUGCUUAGGCACUUGGAUGAACUCUAUCUCAAAGAGCAAUCAGCUAACAAGGAAUUCCAGAAGGAAGCCAUGUUCCUAAGUGUCAGCCUUUUCGACCAAUUUCUUACCAAACAAUACUUCACAAAUAAAAGGGACCUUAAAAUUGUUGCCAUUGCAACCAGCCCGCCAACAGUAUUAGAUAGAAGUCAUUCAACAUUGCUCGAUGCGUGCGACAUGAUGCAGGAAAACAUGUCGGCAACAAUCAAAAUAUGUAACAAAUUUGUGCAAGACCAUCCACCAGCAUAACAAGCCAGCAUCAACUUCUUUUGCAUCCACUUCUGUAAUCCAAAAUCAUGUAAUCGCCUUCUAAUGAAGAAAUGUAUUUUGUUGCAUAUUCUGUCAGACGAUCCAUAUGUCCAAUAUAAAGGAAA